GGAUUCAACAAGUAAAGGAUGAU
rnacentral:snRNA from 1 species